AUGUAUCCGAACAGAUACACUGUUGUACUACAGUAUGUAGUUUAUUCAUCCAGGUCUCUAUCUCAUGAAGGAGCUUUGAAUGAAACGGUGGAGGGCCCCACAUUCUGGAGCCUCACCCCUCUUAUGGUCUGAAUGGGGUCCAAGAGGUGGGGAGGAUAGAGGGAACACUGACAGUGGACGAGGACUUCAGUGAAGCUCCCUCGCCCAAGUUGCCUUUAUCAAACUCAACAUUUAACAACACAACAACGUCUGAAGAGAGGGUCUCUGAGGUACCAGGGGCAAUAGUAGAAAGUGUUCUCCUCAGUGGGGAAGACUCCUUGAAGAAAAAGAAGAGUCGAGAACGGAAGGGCAAGGGACAGAAAGGACGACAUAAGAGGCAAAGACAACGCCUGACGAGUACAGAGGAGGAAGAGGAAGCGGAGGAGGAGGAAUUAUACGAUGGGGAUGAGUACAGUUAUGAAUAUGAGGAUUCCACAGAUGAUCCCUUACUGUCAAUGGAAAAGCAAGGGGAGUUUGAAAUCACAACAGAAAGCACACUACAUGGAAUCAAAGAGGUGAACACUUCCUUUGCCAUUGUAUCUCUAGAUAUAGAAAAAUGUAGUAAAGACAACGGAUAG
rnacentral:lncRNA from 1 species